UGUCCAGUGGCACAAUGGUACUGCGUUCGACUGUUAAUCGAAAGAGUGUUGGUUCGAUUCCAACCUGGACAG
rnacentral:tRNA from 1 species